rnacentral:rRNA from 1 species
ACGUAGGGUGCGAGCGUUGUCCGGAAUUACUGGGCGUAAAGAGCUCGUAGGUGGUUUGUCGCGUUGUUCGUGAAAACUCACAGCUUAACUGUGGGCGUGCGGGCGAUACGGGCAGACUGGAGUACUGCAGGGGAGACUGGAAUUCCUGGUGUAGCGGUGGAAUGCGCAGAUAUCAGGAGGAACACCGGUGGCGAAGGCGGGUUGCUGGGCUGACACUGACGCUGAACUGCGAAAGCUAGGGGAGCGAACGGGA